AUUGAACGCUGGCGGCAGGCCUAACACAUGCAAGUCGAACGGUAACAGGAAGAAGCUUGCUUCUUUGCUGACGAGUGGCGGACGGGUGAGUAAUGUCUGGGAAACUGCCUGAUGGAGGGGGAUAACUACUGGAAACGGUAGCUACUACCGCAUAACGUCGCAAGACCAAAAAGGGGGACCUUCGGGCCUCUUGCCAUCGGAUGUGCCCAGUUGGGAUUAGCUAGUAGGUGGGGUAACGGCUCACCUAGGCGACGAUCCGUAGCUGGUCUGAGAGGAUGACCAGCCACACUGGAACUGAGACACGGUCCAGACUCCUACGGGAGGCAGCAGUGGGGAAUAUUGCACAAUGGGCGCAAGCCUGAUGCAGCCAUGCCGCGUGUAUGAAGAAGGCCUUCGGGUUGUAAAGUACUUUCAGCGGGGAGGAAGGGAGUAAAGUUAAUACCUUUGCUCAUUGACGGUACCCGCAGAAGAAGCACCGGCUAACUACGUG
rnacentral:rRNA from 1 species